rfam:Anaerofustis stercorihominis DSM 17244 Scfld_02_4 genomic scaffold, whole genome shotgun sequence.
CCUCGUGAUGAUAGCGACGGUGUAACACCUGUAAACAUACCGAACACAGAAGUUAAGCCCGUCCACGCCUAUGGUACUUGUCUGGAGACGGACUGGGAGAGCGGGUAGUCGCGGGGU